rnacentral:rRNA from 1 species
GACGAACGCUGGCGGCGUGGAUUAGGCAUGCAAGUCGAACGGUAUCAUCCUUUCGGGGGUGAGAGAGUGGCGAACUGGUGAGUAACACGUAGGUUAUCUACCCUCAAGACGGGGACAACCCAGGGAAACUUGGGCUAAUACCGGAUGUGAGCAACUUUUUAGUUGUUUGAAAGGUGGCGUAAGCUGUCGCUUGGGGAUGAGCCUGCGUCCUAUUAGUUAGUUGGUGAGGUAACGGCUCACCUAGGCAAUGAUAGGUAGGCGGCCUUAACGGGUGGUCGCCCACACUGGGAUUGAGAUACGGCCCAGACUCCUACGGGAGGCAGCAGUCGAGAAUAGUCUACAAUGGCCGGAAGGCUGAUAGUGCGACGCCGCGUGAACGAGGGAGCCCUUCGGGGUGUAAAGUUCUUUUCUAUACGAGCAGUGCUAUAUAUAUGGAUAGUAUAUAUAGAGGGAUAGUAGUAUAGGAAUAAGCAACGGCUAACUCCGUGCCCAGCAGCCGCGGUAAGACGU